rnacentral:rRNA from 1 species
GAUGAACGCUGGCGGCGUGCCUAAUACAUGCAAGUCGAGCGAACGGACGAGAAGCUUGCUUCUCUGAUGUUAGCGGCGGACGGGUGAGUAACACGUGGAUAACCUACCUAUAAGACUGGGAUAACUUCGGGAAACCGGAGCUAAUACCGGAUAAUAUUUUGAACCGCAUGGUUCAAAAGUGAAAGACGGUCUUGCUGUCACUUAUAGAUGGAUCCGCGCUGCAUUAGCUAGUUGGUAAGGUAACGGCUUACCAAGGCAACGAUGCAUAGCCGACCUGAGAGGGUCGUCGGCCACACUGGAACUGAGACACGGUCCCGACUCCUACGGGAGGCAGCAGUAGGGAAUCUUCCGCGAUGGGCGAAAGCCUGACGGAGCAACGCCGCGUGAGUGAUGAAGGUCUUCGGAUCGUAAAACUCUGUUAUUAGGGAAGAACAUAUGUGUAAGUAACUGUGCACAUAUUGACGGUACCUAAUCAGAAAGCCACGGCUAACUACGUG